rnacentral:tRNA from 1 species
GCCGGAGUGGUGGAAUUGGCAGACACAAGGGACUUAAAAUCCCUCGGGGCUCAAACCCCGUGCCGGUUCAAGUCCGGCCUCCGGCA